GGAGGGGUGGCAGAGUGGUUGAAUGCACCGGUCUUGAAAACCGGCGUAGGUGCGAGCCUACCCAGGGUUCGAAUCCCUGCCCCUCCGCCA
rnacentral:tRNA from 1 species